rnacentral:rRNA from 1 species
GAUGAACGCUGGCGGCGUGCCUAAUACAUGCAAGUCGAGCGAACAGAUAAGGAGCUUGCUCCUUUGACGUUAGCGGCGGACGGGUGAGUAACACGUGGGUAACCUACCUAUAAGACUGGAAUAACUCCGGGAAACCGGGGCUAAUGCCGGAUAACAUUUAGAACCGCAUGGUUCUAAAGUGAAAGAUGGUUUUGCUAUCACUUAUAGAUGGACCCGCGCCGUAUUAGCUAGUUGGUAAGGUGACGGCUUACCAAGGCAACGAUACGUAGCCGACCUGAGAGGGUGAUCGGCCACACUGGAACUGAGACACGGUCCAGACUCCUACGGGAGGCAGCAGUAGGGAAUCUUCCGCAAUGGGCGAAAGCCUGACGGAGCAACGCCGCGUGAGUGAUGAAGGCCUUCGGAUCGUAAAACUCUGUUAUUAGGGAAGAACAAAUGUGUAAGUAACUGUGCACGUCUUGACGGUACCUAAUCAGAAAGCCACGGCUAACUACGUG